rnacentral:misc_RNA from 1 species
GAUGAAGAACGCAGUGAAAUGCGAUACGUAAUGUGAAUUGCAGAAUUCAGUGAAUCAUCGAGUCUUUGAACGCACAUUGCGCCCCCUGGUAUUCCGGGGGGCAUGCCUGUCCGAGCCUCAUUGCUGCCCUCAAGCACGGCUUGUGUGUUGGGCCUCCGUCCUCCUCCCGGGGGACGGGCCCGAAAGGCAGCGGCGGCACCGCGUCCGGUCCUCGAGCGUAUGGGGCUUCGUCACCCGCUCUUGUAGGCCCGGCCGGCGCUUGCCGACACAUCAAUCUUUUUUCCAGGUUGACCUCGGAUCAGGUAGGGAUACCCGCUGAACUUAAGCAUAUCAAUAAGCGGAGGA